rnacentral:lncRNA from 1 species
GUGGUAAUGCCUAGGAGCCACUGAGGGUAUCAUGUUUUAGCGUAAUUUUUGAGAAGGCUCUCUGUCAGGGGGAAAAGGAUAUAAUCAGAACUUUUCAGUUUGUGGGAUUGAAAAGCAAAAUACUCCUAAGACCUUUAAGGAAAGAAAUUUAAAGAAAGGACAGUGAUUUGGGGUCUUCAGUCUUUUAACAUGGUGAAGAAUGGAAGUUGCCCUGUGUGACCUUGGAAAACAAGUGUGUGGCAACCUCUGUGGGGUUUAUCUCUGGGUGAGUGAGCUCAUCCCUCCUGACCCAAGGCAGCCUGACCAAGGGUGUGUGUCACCAGAGUCUGACAGUCUAUUGGACUAGCUUUCAACAGUAACACCAGGUAGCAGAAAGAAGAAAUGGCAAAACUAGCUCUCUUUCUGUUCCAUUGUGGAAGACAGAAAGAACCUCUUUUCUACUAGGAAAAGCCAGGGAUUUUGGAGAAUUCAGGGCAAAGGAGGAGAAGAAGGAAGAUGCUGAACUUCCUACUAAAAAUACAGGACUCAUCUGAAUAAUCCAGGAUAAUCUCACCAUCUCGAAGUCCUUAAUUUAUUCACAGCUGCAAAAUCUUUGGCUUAUAAGGUAACAUUUAUAGGUUCUGAGACUAGAACCUGAUAUCUUUGGGGUGGCAUUUUCAGCCUAACCACACAUGGGAAUAUAUAGUCUAUUUAAAUGAAAAUUUCCAAUGUUACAGAUAAAGCUAAAAUCCCAUUUGACCUCUGCUCUCAAUCCUAGCCUACUCUACAUUCCCUAGAGGUCACCACAAUGUUUAGUUUGUUAUAUUUCUAGUACUUUUAAGAAACUUUUAGCUCCCUGUAUAUAUACAUCUGUGGAAAAGGUAUGGCAUUGUUUGAGUGUAUGUGUGUAUGGAAGCCCCCCAAAAUUAACAAGCUAUACUAGUCAUUUUGCAACUUGGCUUCUUUUUACUUGAAAUGUUUUUGGGAUAAAGUUGCAUUGAUGCAGUUAAAAAUAUAUAUAUAUAUAUGUAUAUUUUUUAUUAUAGUAUUUCAUCUUGGGUAUGUACCACAUUUUUUCUUCUCCCCUGUUUAUGGAUGUUUAAGUUAUUUCUAAUCUUUUGCUAUUAUAAAGAAUAUCCUGGUACAGGCAUCCUCUGUACAGAUGUGUACUGUUAAAAGAGUGUACGAAAGAACAGCUUUCCCCACAAGCUGACCUAUACUUCACGGUCUCAGAUAUUUUAAUUUUUGUUCAGCUUAUUAAUCCAUCUAGACUUUAUUUGUGUGUUUUAUGUGAGGUAAAGUUUUAAUUUUAUUUUUUUCUAUUUUGUUAGCCAAUUUUCAAACAUUAUUUAUUGAACCUUCCAUACUUUCCCCAUUUGACUCAUCUGUCAUGUAGCAAGUUAGUUUAUAUGCAUAAGGCUGUUUACUGUGCCCUUAUUUUGUAUUAGGAAAUUUUUUGGUAUUGUUAUUUUACUUACCUUUCUCCAUAGGACUUGUCUACGCUUAAUUUGCUCAUUUGUUCAUGAGCUCAUUCCUACUACGAUAAGAGAAUUUAUAUCUAUUUUGUAUCCUAAGCACAUAGAAUAAUGCCUGGUACAUAAUAGAUGCUCAAUAAACACAUUGCAUUAAUACAUUUUUAAAUUGGCCAGCUUAUACAGUCACUUAAAGUGAUAUUUUCUCUGAUAUAUUACCCUUGUGUGUGUAUGUAUACAUAUGUAUAUACCACUAGACACAUAAUUUAGUUAAAACAUUUAGCCUUAAUUGGAGCUGAAAACUGCUUCCUAAUUUUGGGAGACUGUUCCCUAAGGGUCUCUCAUAUUUCUACAUGUCUUGUGAGCAGAAAUACUGAAUGCCUUUGUUUCAUACUGUCCCCUCAAGGAUGUUUUUAUACCCAGGUGUCCCAUGGGUCAAUUCAGCUUGCUAUCUGUUUUUAUAAAUAAAGUUUUAUUGGAACUCACCACAUUAAUUGAUUUACAUACUGUCUAUUUCUGUUUUCACACUACCAUAGCAGGGUAGAAUAAUUGUGGCAGAGAUCAUAUGAUCCACAAAGUUUAACAUAUUUACUAUCUGUCUCUUUACAAAAAAAUUUGCUGACCCCUGGUAUAGCAAAUAUCCUUAAAAGGUAGAAAUAGUAUGGCCCUCCAGAUCAAAAAGCAAGAUUGUUUAUUGUCCAGUAUAAUAAAUGUCGCUUUUUGGUACAAGGUCAGGCAGGCUUAUUGCCCAUUAUGAAAGAUUCGAGUUUCCUAAGUUCAGGAUUUAUAUUGUACUCCUGUAAUACAGCCUACUCCAUGUGCAGACAUCACUGGCUCUCUGUACUUCAUCCUAUAGGAAUUGGGGUUCCAGGAAACAGUACAAAUGCUGAUACUCAGGUUGCUGCUAUUGCUGUGACUAAUAAACUGUUCUUGUCUCUGACUCUGGAGAUUCAUAUCUUCUACAGGCAUCUAGGAAACUGUGGCAGGCAAAUUCGUUAGCUUGCAGGUAGGGUAGUCUCUGACAUUUCACAGUUCUUGACCAUUUAUCUACCAGACUUUUAUUUCCAAAAUUUAAAACUAGUACGUCUAACGACUGCAGAAAAAUUCUAUAUUAGCCCUCAAAUUUAGAUUUCAAAACAUGCUUAGAGAGGGCACUGAUUUGUGAAAAAUAGAUCAUAUACUUCCAACAUUUUGCCCCAGACAACUCUAUAAACUCUUACACUUAUUUAAAAAGACUAUAUAUGUAAUGAAAAAUCAUAUAGGAGCUUUAGAGAAAACUUGGAAAAAUAAACAGAGAAACGAGUUGCCUAUAAUAUCAUUAUUGUGACAUAACUACUAUUAAAAUGUCUUUAGAAAUUUCUGCCUCUGAUCCACUCUGCCACAUUUUCUUGACAUUUCUUGAUAUCAACAUCACAAAGGUAAGGACAGACCUCAAAUAUGCCAGAUUUUCUUUAACAAUGUAUGGUGUAACUUUAAUUCGUGAUUUUUCUUUUCUUUUUGGCUUUCGAUAUAUUUUUAAUCUGUGCCACUUAACGAAGGUUUACUACCUCCUAACUGACUUUUUUUUUUUUUUUUGAGAAAGCUUAGCCCUAAGCUAACAUCUGCUGCCAAUCCUCCUCUUUUUGCCCAGAAAGACUGGCCCUGAGCUAAGGUCUGUGCCCAUCUUCCUCUACUUUAUAUGUGGGACGCCUACCACAGUAUGGCUUGAAAAACUGUGUGUAGGUCGGCACCCAGGAUCCAAACCAGCCAAUCCUGGACCACUGAAGCAAAAUGGGCGAACUUAACCGCUGCGCCCCCGGGCUGGCCCCUUAACAGACUUUUUAUCUGGUGACAUUUGCAUUGUUCUAAUAUCCUGAGAA